UGUCGACAUUAUUGUUAUGCAGGCACUUUGGUGACUCUAGAGAACCUCGGGCCAAUCGCACGUCCCCGUAAUGGCAACUGUCUGCCCUAUCAACUUUCGAUGACAAUUUCUGCGCCUACCAUGGUGACCACGGGUAACGGGGAAUCAGGGUUCGAUUCCAGAGAGGGAGUCUGAAAAACGGCUACCACAUCCAAGGAAGGCAGCAGGUGCGCAAAUUACCCACUCCCGACGUAGGGAGGUAGUGAUGACA